rnacentral:rRNA from 1 species
AGUGAACGCUGGCGGUAGGCCUAACACAUGCAAGUCGAACGGCAGCACAGUAAGAGCUUGCUCUUACGGGUGGCGAGUGGCGGUCGGGUGAGGAAUACAUCGGAAUCUACUUUUUCGUGGGGGAUAACGUAGGGAAACUUACGCUAAUACCGCAUACGACCUACGAGUGAAAGCAGGGGAUCUUCGGACCUUGCGCGAUUGAAUGAGCCGAUGUCGGAUUAGCUAGUUGGCGGGGUAAAGGCCCACCAAGGCGACGAUCCGUAGCUGGUCUGAGAGGAUGAUCAGCCACACUGGAACUGAGACACGGUCCAGACUCCUACGGGAGGCAGCAGUGGGGAAUAUUGGACAAUGGGCGCAAGCCUGAUCCAGCCAUACCGCGUGGGUGAAGAAGGCCUUCGGGUUGUAAAGCCCUUUUGUUGGGAAAGAAAAGCAGCAGGUUAAUACCCCGCUGUUCUGACGGUACCCAAAGAAUAAGCACCGGCUAACUUCGUG